UGAAGGCCUGCGCAGGCCUGUGCAGGCCCGUUUUGCGGGCCCAGAAGUCCUUGGUGAUGAACCUACAAAGGCAGAAUCAUGGAUGGAUUUCAGGUAAUUUACAAGAUUAAAAUUAAUUUGGUUGCUGGUGGUUCCGAACAAAUAUGUACAGCUCUUUUAUCCCAGGUACAUCUUUUUGAAGACUGAGAAAUUAGAGUUUUAUCCCUGAGGAUAAAGAAAGUGUUUUGGAAAGUAUUUUAUAUCGCAAAAGUGCAAAUCCUCAUACUGAUAAUCUGAAGGGCCUGUACAGUGUAGCAGACCUUGGAAACAAACCCAGUCAGCUUGAAGAGUCUCAAAAGGACCCUACCAGUGAGAAAUCAAGAUGGCAGUCCACUAUGGGGAAUUGAGGAAAAUGGAUUAAUACAAGAGUGCUGUGAUAAAAUACCACCAAGACAGGGUUCUUUUAACAUGGAUUCAGUGAAAUGAAUGAAACCUAUCUUAACCAACAAAUGGACAGUGGAUUUGACUUUGUAAAGACUUGUAUCAUUUAAACUAGUUUAUUUUUGACAUUUGGAGAAGAUGGCACGUUAACACAGAUGGUAGCGUGGAUACCUGAAUUUUUUUUUUGCAUAUUUUGAUUUGUUUGAAUAUGACCUCAUGGAAUGUUAACUUUAAUAAAAUUUCUAACAUUUAAAAAAAUUUCAGUUUGGGCCUUGUUCUUUUUCAAGUGGAAGUUUCAUUAAAUAUUCAAUUAUCACCUUAAUAACAAUUUGGUUCUUACAGUUGCCCAGCAGUAUAUUCAGUAAAACUGGUAACAUGGAAAUGAUGUGGUGGAAUAUGUUUUACUUGCUUGAUAAAGAUUUGUAUUUUCUCACAAAGCUAUGGGAAUUUAUCUGUGCUUUGGCAUGGCUAUUAGUUAAAACAUGAUUUUUUUCAGGUUUGUUUGAAGUUUUGAAUGCAUUUCCUUAAAUUUCUCUUUGUAUUUUCUUGAAACACCUUGCAAAUCAGCUUAAUCAGUGGGUAGUAAUAGUUUUUAAUUUAGCAUGAGAUUUAAUGAUCUUUUAAAGCAAUAUGUUUUGUUGCCGUCAAACUCAGGGUGAUAAUAGCAUUUCUCUGAAUUAUUUUGAGUUGAUGGAAAUGUUCUCCUUUACUUAUGCUUUUUAAUGUUAUAAAUAAAAUAUUUUGCAAUAGAAUAUUCAUUUGAAUAUUUAGACAUGUCUUUUGUUAAUGUUGGGGGAAGAAUGUUGGAUUUAUAGGGAAAUGUCAUUAGGGUAUAUAUAAACUGGCUUAAAUCUUUGGUGGGAAUGAUGGCUAUAAUGUAUUGUAUUUACAUUUGAAAUAGGAUUUG
rnacentral:lncRNA from 1 species